UGCCUACGGGGCGCAGCAGUGGGGAAUAUUGGGCAAUGGGCGCAAGCCUGACCCAGCAACGCCGCGUGAAGGAGGAAGGCUUUCGGGUUGUAAACUUCUUUUCUUGGGGACGAACAAAUGACGGUACCCGAGGAAUAAGCCACGGCUAACUACGUGCCAGCAGCCGCGGUAAUACGUAGGUGGCAAGCGUUAUCCGGAUUUAUUGGGUGUAAAGGGCGUGUAGGCGGGAAUGCAAGUCGGAUGUGAAAACUAUGGGCU
rnacentral:rRNA from 1 species